CACACGCACACAGCGCUUAAUUGCCUAUAUUCUGGUCCGCUGUGAUAGGAAGAGGGCUUCACUCACCCAGGAAGGUGCUGGAGAUGUACUCUGACACUUGGUUUCCGGAGCGACUCAUCUCGGACAGAGCGGUGCGUCUGGAUGGUUUCCAGCUGGUCCAAACACCAGUCCAGUUCUUCCAGCGUGUCCAGGGCGAGCUGCUGGUACUGCUGGUCUGACAAUGUGGCCCUGGGACUCACACACACUCCACCCAGCGGCGACCUCCUGAGGUCACAGUGGUUGGCUGAAAGCAUACAAGCAUCAUCUAAGUGGAUUCCUUUGCUCAGACCUUCACAAUGAGCACAAAAGAAGGUCAGAAUGUGUGAAAGUCACCAGAUUGACAGUACAAGAAUAGUUCACUACCUGCCAACCUGCUGCUUGUUGCGAAUUACCGACAGCACGCUGCGGCUCUUCUUCAUCCUGAUUGGCUCGUUCUGGGCCCCAGGGCGGAGCGUUCCGGAACCCAGGCAGCAGAGCAGGUGGAGAGCCAGGACCGGAGAGGUAAUGGGUCACUCCAAGGUUA